GAGGCUCGAUAACGCGAGGCCUCGGCGUCCGGCCUGCUUGGUCGGAAGAUCCCUCGACAAAGGGGAGCGGGUGCCUCAAAGUCUCUGGGCCGUGGCAGGGCUGUAGGUGGGCGGGGUGGUUGCGGCCGGGUACCAUGCACGGCUGUUGUCCUGAUCGCGCCCAACUGGACUCUCUGGAGUGCCCGCCCAAUCGUUCAGGGACAGUCCUGGAGGAACCCAGGAUGGUGGACGGUGUCUCCAAAGGGCGUCUGCGGCGCCCAGCCCUUCCUCUGGGGGUCGCCUAGUCGCCAGCACCAAGUGGGUGGAAUCCGCGGGUGGGAACCGGUCUGCCGCGCCCUUGAAGCUGCCAGAGGGAGCUCGGGACGCGCGAGCUGGCGUCGGCGCCCCCAGCCUAGGCGAUGCGACCUGCCGCUGUGACUUCUAUCUCAGCGUUUUGUCUUGCAUUGGAAAAACUAAUCAAGAAAGACCUGUCCCACGGGUUGGGAUAUCCACGCCAAUUAUCGCAAUGUACAAUUUGAAUCCUUUUCCACCAUACCUUUUGUACGCAAAGCGUUGUUUUGAAAACGGUUCUGUACGUAAUAGAUUCGCAAAUAUGUGUUUGUUACGCUUUGAAGAAAAACCUGAAGGUUUCGAUCGACAUACCCAAUGGUCAGACAAGUGUUUACUUUUAAAAUUUUUAGCUCUUUUAGGUCCCAAAAGACAUAUAAUCCAUGUUGUUUGCUUACAAGGUGCUGUGUUAGGCACAUAAUGGAAUCCAAAAUGUGAAAAUAAGAUCUCUAUCACAUGGAGCUCAGGGUAUAUACUAUAUUGGAAAUUGACUACAGAAUACACAUUAAAGGCUAUUAAAGUUAACUAG
rnacentral:lncRNA from 1 species